UACGAAGGGUGCAAGCGUUAUUCGGAUUUAUUGGGCGUAAAGGGUGCGCAGGCGGUUUGCUAAGUCAACUGUUAAAUUUCCCAGCCUAACUGGGAGCAAGCAGUAGAUACUGGCAUGCUAGAGGAUGGAAGAGAGAAGUGGAAUUCUCGGAGUAGCGGUGAAAUGCGUAGAUAUCGGGAGGAACACCUGUGGCGAAAGCGGCUCACUGGACCGCAACUGACGCUGAGGCGCGAAAGCUAGGGGAGCAAACAGG
rnacentral:rRNA from 1 species